rnacentral:rRNA from 1 species
AUUGAACGCUGGCGGCAUGCCUUACACAUGCAAGUCGAACGGUAACAGGUCUUCGGAUGCUGACGAGUGGCGAACGGGUGAGUAAUACAUCGGAACGUGCCUCGUAGUGGGUGAUAACUACUCGAAAGAGUGGCUAAUACCGCAUGAGAUCUACGGAUGAAUGCAGGGGAUCGCAAGACCUUGUGAUACUCGAGCGGCCGAUGGCGGAUUAGGUAGUUGGUGGGAUAAAAGCUUACCAAGCCGACGAUCUGUAGCUGGUCUGAGAGGACGAUCAGCCACACUGGGACUGAGAAACGGCCCAGACUCCUACGGGAGGCAGAAGUGGGGAAUUUUGGACAAUGGGCGCAAGCCUGAUCCAGCAAUGCCGCGUGCAGGAUGAAGGCCUUCGGGUUGUAAACUGCUUUUGUACGGAACGAAAAGCCCCGGGUUAAUACCCUGGGGUCAUGACGGUACCGUAAGAAUAAGCACCGGCUAACUACGUGCCAGCCGCCGCAGUAA